CUAGUUAGCUCAGUUGGUAGAGCACCUGACUACAGAUUCAGGGGGACUGGGUUUGAAUCUCAGUCUGG
rnacentral:tRNA from 1 species